AUUGAACGCUGGCGGCAGGCCUAACACAUGCAAGUCGAGCGAGCGGCGGACGGGUGAGUAAUGUAUGGGGACUGCCCGGUAGAGGGGGAUCACUACUGGAAAAGGUGGCUAAUACCGCAUACUAUCGGAUAACCCAUAUGGGAUUAGCUAGUGGGGGGGGUAAAGGCUCACCUAGGCGACGAUCUCUAGCUGGUCUGAGAGGAUGAUCAGCCACACUGGGACUGAGACACGGCCCAGACUCCUACGGAGGCAGCAGUGGGGAAUAUUGGACAAUGGGCGAAAGCCUGAUGCAGCCAUCCCGAGUGUAGGAUGAAGGCCUUAGGGUUGUAAAGUACUUUCAGCGGAGAGGCGGUACCCGCAGAAGAAGCACCGGCUAACUCCGUGCCAGCAGCCGCGGUAAUAC
rnacentral:rRNA from 1 species